CGAGAGCUCCGCUACCCAACAAAGAUAAAUUCAGGAAGAAGUUGAGAGGCUCCUGACUGAACGAUUGUGCGAUUUCCAGCAUAACGAAGCUACUAACGAGACGCUCCGACUAGACAUGACCAACAUAAACGAGUCAUCUUUCAAUGACAAGAUCAAGCAGAUAGGACUAUCCCACAUAGAUUUUCGAAUACAAAGAUUAUUUAUGUUCCGACAAAGGUAGCAACUCAACCUAAUGACGGGACAGGGGCAAACGAGUACCAGAAUGACACACCAGCUCAACUACCAAGAACCGGGAUCAUGUCUUGUUCUCAACACUCCAGACAAUUUAAUAUUGAAGCAGCACAUCACCAGUAGCCGAGCAUUACGGACAAAGUGGUCCAAUUCGUACCGCUGCACACAACUUGGCACAAGCCAGCCCUAGCUCUGUUUUCACAACCGUGCCUACCUGCUUCACGGCUCCCGGUAGCCAUUGAUCUAUCACCAUGGCUCAUAACCGUGCCAAUCUUGCACUAUGGCUCCCAACCGUACUGAUCUUGCCCUAUGACUUGCGCCAACCAAGCCUUAAAAAGGCACACGACAAAAUACCUAAUGAUGGCACAAUAAUUCUAGGAGUAGCUCACUACGCUUACACCCUUAUGCGGGUUCCACAAGCAGUUCGAAGUUUUAAGCAAAUCGCCAAACAAGACCUCGCAGGCUGAGGAUUAUUUCAGUUGUCCAGCAAUCCAGCUUUCUUCAACUGCACUCACGACAACGACUUCCAAGCUCUUUAGUGCAAGAGAGUAAACUAAUUGCUCUCUAGUGCAAUAAGGUAAACUAAUAGCUCUCUAGUGCAAGAGGGUAAACUAAUAGCUCUUAGUGCAAGACGGUAAACUAAUAGCUCUCCAGUGCGGGAUGGUAAACUAAUUGUUCUCUAGUGCGAGAAGGUAAACUAAUUGCUCUCCAGUGCGAGAAGGUAAACUAAUUGAUCUCCAGUACGAGAGGGUAAACUAAUAGCUCUCUAGUGCGAGAGGGUAAACUAAUUGUUCUCCAGUGCGAGAGGGUAAACUAAUUGCUCUCCUGUGCAAUCUAGUGCGAGAAGGUAAACUAAUUUCUCCCAGUGCGAAAGGGUAAACUAAUUCCCUGACACCCAUAUAGGCAAUGGCGAAGCUACGUGAGGGCGAGAAGUGGCGGCAGCCCCUCCCUUCAUCGGAAAUCAAGCCCAAUAGCGGGUGGUUCUGCCCCUCCGAUCUCGUCGAAAGUGAUGAAAUUCUGUCUGGUUUUCGGCCUUUUGGGUUUCCCUAUCGCAGCACAGGCUGAUCGCGUGCUCUUUUAUUUUCCAAAAAAAAAACUCUAGGCCAAAGAAAGGAGGAACGAAGAUCUGCAUUUUGCAACUUCUGGAGAUUGGAAAUUAAGUUCUGGAACUCUGGUUUGGUUACUAACGAAGAAGAAGAGAAAGGAUGAAGAGAGAGACUUUCUUUCUCUUCCAUCCCACCCCACGUGACCUUUCAUAAUUACAGUUUGUUUUUAUUUUUAUUUUUAAUAUUGGCCAAUCAAUUUGCACCACCUAAUAACCUGCUUUGUUUUAUUUUUAAAUUAUUGUCUAAUUAAUUUGACCACUCUUUCAAUAUUUUUUAAGCCAUUUGUUUGACACUGUUAUUUAUCUUAAAAUUCACUACACGAGCUUCAAAAACUAAUUUGUAAAAUAUUACGAACUCGUAAUUUUUUUUUUUCUUUCUCUUACCAUCAAAUUCAGCAAAGUAAUAAAGAAAAUUUGUUAAUAUUUUUAUAUAUUAUAUGUUUUAUAAUAAAUGUUUUUUGGAUAUUAUAAGCUAUAUAAUAAAUAGACAAUUAUUUAUACGGUAUAUAAUAAAUUUAUUUAAAUUUUCCUAGGCCCUCGCCUAAGUGUAAAGUCAUGUCCAUCGCCCGAUUAGAGCUUAGCAUCUUUUAAAACUUUGCUAAUUAUACAGUUAAGUAAUAGGACGAUACAACGAGAAACGAUGCUAAAUCAUCCUUCAAAUAAUAUUGUUGUUCAAACCCUCAUUCGAAUAUUUUGAGUAGUCCAAAUCCUCUUUUGAAUAUUUCGGUUAGUGCAAAUUCUCCUACGGGUAGUUCAAAUAAUCUUCUUGCAAAUCCUGGACUUAGACCUCGAAUGAAUGUUCACAUUUUUUUGAGACCCUAAAUUUUUUAAAUUUCACCCCUCAUCUUGAGAAUUUCUGGUUUCGCCACUGCAUAUAGGUAAGCUCUUUAGUGCGAGAAUGCCACAUAGCUCAAAAGAUCGAAUGCUUGAAGACUAACUAGGCAGCAAAUGAUCAGGAGGCAGCAGCCAUGUUGCACUCAACAGUUCGCUGAGCCGACAUCUUCAACAGCUCUGAUCUUGGUAGCUUCAU
rnacentral:lncRNA from 1 species